rnacentral:rRNA from 1 species
AUUGAACGCUGGCGGCAGGCCUAACACAUGCAAGUCGAGCGCGAAAGUCUUCGGAUGAGUAAAGCGGCGGACGGGUGAGUAAUGCAUGGGAAUCUGCCUGGUAGUGGGGGACAACGUUUCGAAAGAGACGCUAAUACCGCAUACGCCCUACGGGGGAAAGGGGGGGAUCUUCGGACCUCUCGCUAUCAGAUGAGCCCAUGUCAGAGUAGCUAGUUGGUAGGGUAAAGGCCUACCAAGGCGACGAUCUGUAACUGGUCUGAGAGGAUGAUCAGUCACACUGGAGCUGAGACACGGUCCAGACUGCUACGGGAGGCAGCAGUGGGGAAUAUUGGACAAUGGGGGCAACCCUGAUCCAGCCAUGCCGCGUGUGUGAAGAAGGCCUUAGGGUUGUAAAGCACUUUCAGUGGGGAGAAAGGUUAUUCACCUAAUACGUGAGUAAAUUGAUGCUACCCACAGAAGAAGCACCGGCUAACUCCGUGCCAGCCGCCGCCGUAA